rnacentral:rRNA from 1 species
AUUGAACGCUGGCGGCAGGCCUAACACAUGCAAGUCGAGCGGAGCGGCGGACGGGUGUGUAAUGCCUAGGAAUCUGCCUGGUAGUGGGGGAUAACGUCCGGAAACGGGCGAUAAUACCGCAUACUAUCAGAUGAGCCUAGGUAGGAUUAGCUAGUAGGUGGGGUAACGGCUCACCUAGGCGAAGAUCCCUAGCUGGUCUGAGAGGAUGACCAGCACCACUGGAACUGAGACACGUGCCAGACUCCUACGGGAGGCAGCAGUGGGGAAUAUGGCACAAUGGGCGCAAGCCUGAUGCAGCCAUGCCGCGUGUAUGAAGAAGGCCUUCGGGUUGUAAAGUACUUUCAGCGAGGAGGCGGUACUCGCAGAAGAAGCACCGGCUAACUCCGUGCCAGCAGCCGCGGUAAUUC